UAUCCUACGGGGGGCAGCAGUCGGGAAUAUUGCGCAAUGGAGGAAACCCUGACGCAGUGACGCCGCGUAUAGGAAGAAGGUUUUCGGAUUGUAAACUAUUGUCGUUAGGGAAGAAAAAAAGACAGUACCUAAGGAGGAAGCUCCGGCUAACUACGUGCCAGCAGCCGCGGUAAUACGUAGGGAGCGAGCGUUAUCCGGAUUUAUUGGGUGUAAAGGGUGCGUAGACGGGUAUACAAGUUGGUCGUGAAAUCCCUCGGCUUAACUGAGGAACUGCAACCAAAACUGUAUAUCUUGAGUACAGGAGG
rnacentral:rRNA from 1 species